GGAUUCUCAGGGGAAUGCUAUUGUGGAAUCGGAGGGAACAACAGGUGGGUAACAUACAUUAUGCUUCUCUGUUUUGAGUUUGUGCUUUUGAUUUUGAAUGAGUGAUCCACUUCAACUGAAAUGUUUUCUCCUGGCCUCCACUCCUACUCCAAGGGUCACCUUAUUGGAGACAAAAUGCCAGAAAAGUUCUUGCUGUCCCAGAAAAAGACUUCACAGACCUGCAGGGCACCAAGAGGAGGAGAAUGAGCAGGAAAAACGAAGAGGUUGGAGGCAUUGCCGAGGUCACCGAAAAAAUUGAAGAGCUGGUUCUUGCAUCUCAGAGUCUCCCAGAUGUUACAUCUGCAAUCAGGGAGCUCACCGAUCUGGCUGCAGUUAAAAGACUGACCCUGACUCAAUCACAGCUACCGGCCAUUAAGCAUGGGUUCUCUUGUGCUUUUUGCUUGAAGUUGAUGACAGAGCCAAUCUUCACGCAGUGUUGCCAAACCCUCAUUGGCUGCAAAACUUGUGUGGAGGAGUGGCAUAGGAACUCCGACACCUGUGCAAAAUGUAGGGGAAGUGUUGAAGGAGACAGCAUGUUUGAAGUUAAGGGCCUAUCAGAGGCACUGUCUGUCCUGAGGUCUCUUUUUGA